rnacentral:rRNA from 1 species
UACGGAGGGUGCGAGCGUUGUCCGGAAUCAUUGGGCGUAAAGGGCGCGUAGGUGGCCUGGUCAGCGUGCGGUGAAAGCUCGGGGCUCAACCCCGAGUCGGCCGUGCGAACUGCUGGGCUGGAGCACUGUAGAGGCAGGCGGAAUUCCGGGUGUAGCGGUGGAAUGCGUAGAGAUCCGGAAGAACACCGGUGGCGAAGGCGGCCUGCUGGGCAGUUGCUGACACUGAGGCGCGACAGCGUGGGGAGCAAACAGG